CAGUAGCCGCGGUAAUACGUAGGGUGCGAGCGUUAAUCGGAAUUACUGGGCGUAAAGCGUGCGCAGGCGGUUGUGUAAGACAGGUGUGAAGUCCCCGGGCUUAACCUGGGAACUGCGCUUGUGACUGCACAGCUAGAGUAUGGCAGAGGGGGGUGGAAUUCCACGUGUAGCAGUGAAAUGCGUAGAGAUGUGGAGGAACACCGAUGGCGAAGGCAGCCCCCUGGGCCAAUACUGACGCUCAUGCACGAAAGCGUGGGGAGCAAACAGGAUUAGAUACCCGUGUAGUCCCUGUCUCUUAUAC
rnacentral:rRNA from 1 species